GCAGCGCAGGACGCGGCUAGAGCUGGGGCUGCCGCGCCCUCCACCUCCUCCUCCAAAGGCCUCCCGGUACCCCUGGCUCGGGCCCAGCCUGCGGCUCCACCAUGCCCUGGAGGAGGCGCAGGAACCGGGUGAGUGCCCUGGAGGGCGGCCGGGAGGAAGAGCCGCCCCCGGAGGCUGCCGCUGUGCCUUCGGCGCUGUUAACGUCCCCGCAGCAGACGGAGGCGGCGGCCGAGCGGAUUCUGCUCCGGGGCAUCUUCGAGAUCGGGAGGGACAGCUGUGACGUGGUACUGAGCGAGCGAGCACUGCGGUGGCGGCCCAUUCAGCCCGAGCGCCCGGCGGGUGAUUCUAAGUAUGACUUUCUAUGUAAAGAAGAAUUUAUUGAACUCAAAGACAUAUUCUCUGUGAAACUGAAACGACGUUGGUCUGUUAAACAGCAGAGAAGUGGUACUUUAUUAGGUAUCACACUCUUCAUCUGCUUGAAAAAGGAACAAAAUAAACUAAAGAAUUCUACACUUGAUCUUAUUAAUUUAAGUGAAGACCACUGUGACAUAUGGUUUAGGCAGUUCAAGAAAAUAUUGGCAGGCUUUCCAAACAGACCGAAGUCAUUAAAAAUACUCCUUAACCCCGAAAGUCACAAAAAAGAAGCUACCCAGGUUUAUUAUGAGAAGGUUGAACCUCUGUUGAAGCUUGCAGGAAUAAAAACUGAUGUAACAGUAAUGGAAUAUGAAGGGCACGCUCUGUCACUGCUUAAGGAAUGUGAACUCCAGGGAUUUGAUGGUGUUGUCUGUGUUGGUGGAGAUGGAUCUGCUAGCGAAGUAGCCCAUGCUUUGCUUCUGAGAGCCCAGGAGAAUGCUGGGAUGGAAACAGACCGAAUCCUGAUUCCUGUCAGAGCACAGCUUCCACUUGGCUUAAUACCAGCAGGAUCUACCAAUAUACUGGCACAUUCUCUUCAUGGAGUUCCUCAUGUGAUAACUGCAACGUUGCACAUUAUAAUGGGGCAUGUACAGCUGGUCGAUGUCUGCACCUUCAGCACCGCUGGCAAGCUUCUUCGCUUUGGAUUCUCAGCCAUGUUUGGCUUUGGUGGAAGAACUUUGGCUCUGGCAGAAAAAUAUCGAUGGAUGUCCCCUAACCAACGGAGAGAUUUUGCUGUUGUUAAGGCACUGGCAAAACUUAAGGCAGAAGACUGUGAAAUAUCAUUUUUACCAUUUAACAGCUCUGAUGAUGUGCAAGAAAGGAGGGCACAGGGAUCUCCCAAAUCUGACUGUAAUGAUCAAUGGCAAAUGAUCCAGGGUCAGUUCUUGAAUGUCAGCAUUAUGGCAAUUCCUUGCCUGUGUUCAGUGGCACCUAGAGGCUUGGCACCUAAUACCAGAUUAAAUAAUGGAAGUAUGGCUCUUAUAAUUGCCCGAAACACUUCUCGGCCAGAAUUUAUAAAACACCUGAAAAGAUAUGCCAGUGUAAAAAAUCAGAAGCUAGAGCUGCAAGACAAUGUCAGCAGGUUUGGUUUGUCCCGAGUCUUCCCUCUCUGGCUGGCACACGGCUGCUGUCUCACUGAACCCACAAGUGAGUGGUCUUUCCUCUGUUCAUCCCCAAUGCCUUUUCCUAUGUCCAAUUUCCUCCUCUUAUAAGGACACCAAUCGUAUUGGAUGAGGGCCUGAAGACAUCAUUUUAGCUUAAUCACCUCUUUAAAGAUCUUAUCUCCAAAUACAGUUACAUUCUGAGGUAUAGAGGGCGAGAAUUUCAAUACAGGAAUGUGAAGUCCAAUGGGCAUGAUUGAGCACCUAGGAAUCACACUGAAUUCUGUGUAGUUGCUUGACCAUGGUUUGCCUCUAGUUUUGUAAAUGCUUCCUCUCUCCAGACUUUCUUCUCCAGGCUAAAUAUUCUGUGUUCUUUAAGGCUCAAUUCAAAUGGGAAGCUUUCCCAACAUCCAUAGACUGUUUGCCUCCUCUUGUUUCCUGCAUUGAACUCCACGCUUGCACCAUCAUGGCACUUUUGUGUAUCACAAUUGUAACUGCUCACUUCUCCUCCCCAUGCCCCAAACAUACCCUCACACAGGAUACUAAGCUCUUGGCUCCCUAAAGUCCCACUUUAACAAUGUCUGUGGCUUCACAGUUAAAGCAUUUGAAGGAUGGCUAGAUCUUCAUUUUGUGAGGUGUGCACAUGAUAACUGCUGAUUUAAGAUAAUAGACUUACUGGUGGUGGCUGUCAAUUCUUGGCAUUCCUUGGCUUACAGCUGCAUCACUCCAGUCUCUGACUCUGCCAUCCUUGGCAUUCUUCUCUCAUAAAGACAUCAAGCAUAUUGGAUUAGGGCUCACCCUAAUGACCUCAUCUUAAGUUGAUUCUACCUGCAAAGACCCUACUUCUAAACAGGUGACAUUCACAGGCACCAUGGGUUAGGACUUGAACAUAGUUGGGAUGGGGGAGGGAAAUGUAAUUUAGCCCAUAACAGGCAGUUGUUGAUAAUUCAUUUAACACACACUAACAUGAAUGAUUAUGUAGAUAAUUCUACAAGGAUGAGGCAUGUAGCCAAGGCUUUAUACCCAAGGUGGGAGAUCUAAUGCAGUUAUUGUCAAACAGUUUUGCUUGGGGCCCUCUAGUUCUGAACCUCAGUCACAGCAGCUGAUGCCCUGAUAUCAUGUACUGUUUAACUGUGUUUAUAGUAUAAACCAGAAAGUCAGCUGGACUUUGGUAUCUACAUAUGUAAAAUAUGGGUGUUGGGGAAAAUAUUAGUUUUCUGUCAACUUUUAAAACUAUGUGUUGCAUUGAGGUUUAUAUGUGGAAAAGAGGAAAAACUAUGUAGAUGGUGUUUAAUUAGGAAUAUAUCUCAUCAUUUAUCUGAAAACUGAAAUGAGUAGUUUUGCAUUCCUGCUAAAGUUACUUGGCUAUAUUUUCUUAAUUAUUUCAGAAAAUACAUAGUGCUUUUUCAGUAGAGUUUCCUUAGGCAAACAAGAAAAAAACGCAAGUAGAAGUUUACCUUGCACCAUUCUAUAAUGGUAAGUAAACAGUGAUCUUGCAGCUCAUGUCCAUUGUUAAAGUGGGAAUGGGGCAAGCAAACACCUGUUAAAAUCCAUAUUUAAUUGGCUUCCUCUUUUAAAAGAAGACAUACGUCCCAUUUUAUCUUCAGAGGUUUAGACCUGAGUUCUUCCAAAUUACAUUCCAAGUGUGAAACUUGCACUAGUUUGCUUUAUGUCAGCUAAACUAAUUGACAAGUUGAUAAACUCAAUGGAUUAUAUGUCUUCUGUAUCUACAGGCCAGCAUUAAAUAUUAUCUUUAAUUGAAAAAUCUACAGUAUCAUUAUUGUAUGCAACUUCUCACAGAUAUGUACUAUUUGUCAUAAAACAAUAUUUCUAGGUGCUAGAUCUAAACCCAGAAGGCUUUGGAUAAGAGAUUCCUUCUUCCAAAAAAAAAUUGGAGAUCCCUGCUCAUAGUCUCAAAGCUAUUAAAAUGUCAGCAUACAUGUUGAUAUUUACUUGUGAGAGAGGGCACAGUGAACUUUGUGUUAGUAGCUAGAGAUAAACCAAGUAUAAUGAUUAUUUGUAUUUAUUUUUAGUUCAAUUUUCCAUUUGUUGAGACUUACACUGUUGAGGAAGUAAAAGUUCAUCCAAGGAAUAAUACUGGUGUAUAUAAUCCAGAGGAGGAAGAGGAUGAAACUGCUUCAGAAAAUUGUUUCCCUUGGAAUGUAGAUGGUGAUUUAAUGGAAGUUGCAUCAGAGGUCCAUAUUAGAUUGCAUCCAAGACUUAUCAGUCUUUAUGGAGGAAGCAUGGAAGAAAUAAAUGAUUCCAAAGUAACAAGUAAUUGUUUCUAAAAGAAAUGUACAAACUAGAAUUUUAAUAUAAAGAAAUAUGGCCAUGCUUUAAACCUGUGGUCCCCACCCUUUUGGGGACCAGUUUCAUGGAAGACAAUUUUUCCAUAGAUGGGGAAAUGGUUUCAGGAUGAAACCGUUCCAACUCAGAUCAUCAGGCAUUAGAGUCUCAUAAGGAAUAUGGCACCCUAAACCCCUCACAUUCCAGUUCACAAUAGGGUUCGUACUUCUGUGAGAAUCUAAUGCUGCUGCUGAUCUGAGAGGAGGAGAAACUCAGUAAUGCUCCAUUGCUUUAACUUUCCGCUGUGUGGCCAGUUGGGGAUGCCUGUUUUUUAAACAGAUAUUCUAAUAUAAAUUGCUAUUUUUUGUUACUAACAAUUAGUCUCUAGGGCUUUAAAAGUCAAGAUGAAAUACCAAUUCAAAUUCUGGUUUUUACAAUGUGUUUGUUGGACACACAGAAAACUUUGCAACCAUCAUAAUACAUCAAUAUUUAACCUAAA